GUGGGGGAUAUUGCACAAUGGAGGAAACUCUGAUGCAGCGACGCCGCGUGAGGGAAGAAGGUCUUCGGAUUGUAAACCUCUGUCUUCAGGGACGAAACAAAUGACGGUACCUGAGGAGGAAGCCACGGCUAACUACGUGCCAGCAGCCGCGGUAAUACGUAGGUGGCAAGCGUUGUCCGGAAUUACUGGGUGUAAAGGGAGCGCAGGCGGGGAAGCAAGUUGGGAGUGAAAUCUAUGGGCUUAACCCAUAAAUUGCGUUCAAAACUGUUUUUCUUGAGUAGUGCAGAGGUAGGCGGAAUUCCCGGUGUAGCGGUGGAAUGCGUAGAUAUCGGGAGGAACACCAGUGGCGAAGGCGGCCUACUGGGCACCAACUGACGCUGAGGCUCGAAAGUAUGGGUAGCAAACAGGAUUAGAAACCCUGGUAGUCC
rnacentral:rRNA from 1 species